rnacentral:sRNA from 2 species
GGACAGCCAUCGCCGAGUCCCCGGACGGCGUGAGCCAGGGGAGCCGGGGACCCACCGCAGUCCCUGGGGUGAAUCGGGGCCCUUGCCGCGUCGAGGGACCCGUAGGAGACCUUCCUGCUCCGAACCCGUCAGCUAACCCGGUAGGCGAGAAGGAAGGAAAG